AGGUACUCCCGAAUCUCGCCACGGAUGGCGGCGAUAGGGAUAACGGCUGGUUGGCACAGCCAACGGUUCACCUGUUCGACCGUAGUGGAGGACGUUUCGCCCCACGAGAACAGGCCGUGAACCGCGAACCGUAAUAUCCCAACGGCGGUCGGGAAUCCUCGCCCUUUAGGGCGGGGA
rnacentral:ncRNA from 1 species